rnacentral:rRNA from 1 species
GAUGAACGCUGGCGGCGUGCCUAAUACAUGCAAGUCGAGCGAACAGACGAGGAGCUUGCUCCUCUGACGUUAGCGGCGGACGGGUGAGUAACACGUGGAUAACCUACCUAUAAGACUGGGAUAACUUCGGGAAACCGGAGCUAAUACCGGAUAAUAUAUUGAACCGCAUGGUUCAAUAGUGAAAGACGGUUUUGCUGUCACUUAUAGAUGGAUCCGCGCCGCAUUAGUUAGUUGGUAAGGUAACGGCUUACCAAGGCAACGAUGCGUAGCCGACCUGAGAGGGUGAUCGGCCACACUGGAACUGAGACACGGUCCAGACUCCUACGGGAGGCAGCAGUAGGGAAUCUUCCGCAAUGGGCGAAAGCCGGACGGAGCAACGCCGCGUGAGUGAUGAAGGUCUUCGGAUCGUAAAACUCUGUUAUUAGGGAAGAACAAAUGUGUAAGUAACUAUGCACGUAUUGACGGUACCUAAUCAGAAAGCCACGGCUAACUACGUG